UCGGGAAUUUUGGGCAAUGGGGGAAACCCUGACCCAGCAACGCCGCGUGAAGGAUGAAGUAUUUCGGUAUGUAAACUUCGAAAGAAUAGGAAGAAUAAAUGACGGUACUAUUUAUAAGGUCCGGCUAACUACGUGCCAGCAGCCGCGGUAAUACGUAGGGACCAAGCGUUGUUCGGAUUUACUGGGUUUAAAGGGUGCGUAGGCGGCUGUAUAAGUCAGUGGUGAAAGGCUGUGGCUUAACCAUGGGAUUGCCAUUGAUACUGUACGGCUUGAAUUAGGAUGAGGUUGGCGGAAUGUGACAUGUAGCGGUGAAAUGCUUAGAUAUGUCAUGGAACAUCGAUUGCGAAGGCAGCUGACUGGACCUUAAUUGACGCUGAGGCACGAAAGCGUGGGGAGCGAACAGGAUUAGAUACCCCAGUAGUCCCUGAGCGGGCUGGCAAGGCGCAU
rnacentral:rRNA from 1 species